rnacentral:lncRNA from 1 species
UGGCAGGCUAGCAUGGAUGCACCCUGGUGGGUAACUGUAACUGGGAAUAGUCCCACUUCCCAAAUUCUGCUUCAUUGGGAUCAUCUGUGGAGUUUCAUAGGGUUGUGGAUAGGAUCUAUGGAAAACAUAUUUAAGGAGACAUUGUUUCUUUUACUGAAAAUCAUAUUCGGACUGCACUGAAAGGUUAUCUGGAGUCCUUCCACAGGCCCUGCUGAAAAAUAACCCAAAGCGGUGGAAUUCUGGCUACACGAGUAUAAGGGAGCGGACACACCUCGCGGUUAUGGAGUACAACAGGAUUGUGGGACAAAACCAGCAAGGGACACUGAAACAUAUAAAAUCAAGACUACAACAGUGGGUGUCCACCCCAAAGUGCUGCAUGUCAUGACAGACACCUGUCUUGAUCAAAGAGAGAAGACUUGAAAUAGCAGCGUACGCAUUGUUGGAUUACUUCAUGGAGCAAAAAAAAAAUGUUAUUCAUUUUAAUAACAGAGCAUCUUCUGAAUUCAAACUGACCCCCUGCAAUUGGACACAGACAUUUUAUGAGACUCAUGUUUCCACAAAUCGAGGACGUAGAGAGAAUUGCAAAGCUAAG